rnacentral:tRNA from 1 species
GGCCGCUUAGCUCAGCUGGUUAGAGCAUCGUACUAAUACCCAGAACACCCCUUGGUUACUAGUUCAUGCGGAGGUCGGCAGUUCGAUCCUGUCAGUGGUCA